rnacentral:rRNA from 1 species
UUAACACAUGCAAGUCGAACGGAAUCUUUAGGGAUUUAGUGGCGGACGGGUGAGUAACGCGUGAGAAUCUGGCUUCAGGUCUGGGACAACCACUGGAAACGGUGGCUAAUACCGGAUGUGCCGAGAGGUGAAAGGCUUGCUGCCUGAAGAUGAGCUUGCGUCUGAUUAGCUAGUUGGUGGGGUAAGAGCCUACCAAGGCGACGAUCAGUAGCUGGUCUGAGAGGAUGAUCAGCCACACUGGGACUGAGACACGGCCCAGACUCAUACGGGAGGCAGCAGUGGGGAAUUUUCCGCAAUGGGCGAAAGCCUGACGGAGCAAUACCGCGUGAGGGAGGAAGGCUCUUGGGUUGUAAACCUCUUUUCUCAGGGAAGAAAAAAAUGACGGUACCUGAGGAAUAAGCAUCGGCUAACUCCGUGCCAGCAGCCGCGGUAAUACGGAGGAUGCAAGCGUUAUCCGGAAUGAUUGGGCGUAAAGGGUCCGCAGGUGGCUGUGUAAGUCUGCUGUUAAAUAGUCAUGCUCAACAUGAUAAAGGCAGUGGAAACUACAUAGCUAGAGUGCGUUCGGGGCAGAGGGAAUUCCUGGUGUAGCGGUGAAAUGCGUAGAUAUCAGGAAGAACACCGGUGGCGAAAGCGCUCUGCUAGGCCGCAACUGACACUGAGGGACGAAAGCUAGGGGAGCGAAUGGGAUUAGAUACCCCAGUAGUCCUAGCCGUAAACGAUGGAUACUA